CUUGCAGAUGGUUAUACAGUGACAUCAGAGAGGGAACUCAAAACUUGGGACCAGAAUCAGGGGCCAAGUUCUGGCCUUCAAGGCCAAUCCCUAGUGGACCGUGUCUACCAGCAUGGUCUUAUGCCCCCAAAGGUUCCACAAUCUCUUAAGACAGUGUCACCAUCUGGCCACAAAGUGUUCAAACCUUUGAGCCUAUGAGAAGUUUUACAUCCAAUCCAUAAUAGAUCUUUGUAUUCUGACUUCCAGAUGCUGGGGACACAAUAUGUACAUGGCCGGAAGGCAUGGCAGUCCAGAUGCACAUAAACUUGAUGAUCAUCUGACCUUAAGUUAAAGAGUGUAUCUCCAGUUAGCCAGCGGAGGACAACGUGAACACGAAGAGUCCUGAAAUCCAGAAGGAAGCAGGAGAGGCAGGACUGGAGAGAGAGCAGCAUGGCAGCCGGUCAAGCCCUGCUGCCAGGUACAAGAGGGAAAGAGAUAACAAGGGUAAGAGAAGAGGAUACCCCCUGCCAGGAAAGGAAAACAACAGUCUUUCCUAGAUCCACCCAGAGGAACACGACUGUGACAUCUUGAUUUGAGCCCAGUGAAAUGCGUUUUAGACUUCUGACUUCCAAUGCUAGUAAUCAAAGAGAGUAAUCACAGCCUUCGGCCUGGGACAUCACAGCGUACUUCCUAGCAACUCCCCACUGCUAAGAGCUGCUCUCUUCUCUUGCUGGGUCACCACAGAGCCAGUGGUUGAGGUGUGGGAGGGGUGGAGGUCUUGGGCACACUGAGACUCUCAGACACACUUCCUGAAUGACUUUGGCCCUUUGGGUGAAUGCCGUGGGCAUCUCAGUUGGGGAGAAGUCUUAAGGCUGCUAGGAAUGCCUUCUUCUGCAAGGAUUGAAUAGCACAGCAAUGGGUUUUAGCUCCUUUCUGCUCGGUGACGAGUGUACUACAUCCCCACUGCCCCUUUUUCCGACGCAGAACAUGUCCAGUGCUGUCACUCUACAGACACACACUCUGAAAGGGGGAGAACGUAACACAGGGUUUUUCCAUCUUCCUCCCUUUGGAAUCUCUCCACGGAUCUUCUAGUCUUUAGAAGUGUGGCAUAAAGUCUCCUGUUUCAAUCUUA